GAUUGUUAAAUGGUCAUACACUAAAGUUGGAAUGGUACACAGAAGAUUAUCAUGGGCACUGCACAAGGACCACAUGCACAUUCAAGAAGCGUUCCAUAUUUUU
ensembl:snRNA U6 U6 spliceosomal RNA